rnacentral:rRNA from 1 species
UACGUAGGGGGCAAGCGUUGUCCGGAUUUAUUGGGCGUAAAGAGCGUGUAGGCGGCCUGGUAGGUCUGCUGUGAAAACUCGAGGCUUAACCUCGAGCUGUCGGCGGAAACCAUCUGGCUAGAGUCCGGAAGAGGAGAAUGGAAUUCCCGGUGUAGCGGUGAAAUGCGCAGAUAUCGGGAAGAACACCCGUGGCGAAGGCGGUUCUCUGGGACGGUACUGACGCUGAGACGCGAAAGCGUGGGGAGCGAACAGG